AUUGAACGCUGGCGACAGGCCUAACACAUGCAAGUCGAACGCGUGGCGGACGGGUGAGUAAUGUCUGGGAAAAUGCCUGAUGGAGGGGGAGGACUACUGAAAAAGGUAUGUAAUACCGCAUACCAUGAGUUUUGCCCAGAUGGGAUUAGCUUAGUGGGGGGGUAACGGCUCACCAAGGCGACGAUCCCUACAUGGUCGGAGAGGAUGACCAGCCACACUGGAACGGAGACAAGGUCCAGACUCCUACGGGAGGCAUCAGGGGGGAAUAUUGCACAAUGGGCGCAAGCCUGAUGCAGCCAUGCCGCGUGUAUGAAGAAGGCAUUGGGGUUGUAAAGUACUUUCAGCGGGGAGGCGUUACCAUCAGAAGAAGCACCGGCUAACUCCGUGCCAGCAGCCGCGGUAAUAC
rnacentral:rRNA from 1 species